UUCGGAGAGCUUGAAGUGAGGA
rnacentral:miRNA from 1 species